UGACCAAAUGAUGUAACCCCAUCCUCCAACCCUGGCAGUUCGCUCUUGAAGUCCCUUUUUUUUGGGUUUUGUUUUUUUUUUUUUUGGUUUGUUUUUUUUUUUUUUUGAGGGGGCCCGGUCCUCCCCACAUAUUAGGAUAAUGGAAGGAGUUCUGACCAUUGCUCUGCCGUUGGUCUAACGGGAAACGAUUGACAAAAACGAGCUUUUUAAAACAAGCCACAUCACGGCAUAUUUUGGCUUGGUUGGAGAGAAGGGGCGUUUAGCUGUAACUAUGGUGAGCGAAUGCCGCUUACAGGGCAUUUUCAAGAUUUCAACUCAAGGCUUGAGGACAAUCACGCCAAGUUGCUGGAGCCCUCCAGCACU
rnacentral:sRNA from 1 species